rnacentral:rRNA from 1 species
GUGUCAGCCGCCGCGGUAAGACGAAGGAUGCAAGCGUUAUCCGGAUUCAUUGGGUUUAAAGGGAGCGUAGGCGGCCUUGUAAGUCAGUGGUGAAAUCUCUCGGCUUAACCGAGAAAUUGCCAUUGAUACUGCAGGGCUUGAGUACAGUUGCCGUUGGCGGAAUAUGACAUGUAGUGGUGAAAUACAUAGAGAUGUCAUAGAACACCGAUUGCGAAGGCAGCUAACGAAACUGUAACUGACGCUGAGGCUCGAAAGUGCGGGGAUCAAACAGGAUUAGAUACCCCAGUAGUCC